rnacentral:rRNA from 1 species
UACGGAGGGUGCAAGCGUUAUCCGGAUUCACUGGGUUUAAAGGGUGCGUAGGUGGGCAGGUAAGUCAGUGGUGAAAUCUCCGGGCUUAACCCGGAAACUGCCAUUGAUACUAUCUGUCUUGAAUACCGUGGAGGUGAGCGGAAUAUGUCAUGUAGCGGUGAAAUGCUUAGAUAUGACAUAGAACACCAAUUGCGAAGGCAGCUCACUACGCGAAUAUUGACACUGAGGCACGAAAGUGUGGGGAUCAAACAGG